rnacentral:lncRNA from 1 species
AUGUCUGGGAGCGUCACAACGAAGGACUUCAAGGUACUCAGAAUUCUGCCCGAACCUGAAGGCCAGAAAACCGGUGAAACAGAAGCAAAACGAGACCUAUCUUUCAUCCCCAGCUACUAUAAUUACUCCAGAGUGUUUCAUUGUACUCUGCCCUCCUUGAAGGGUCACCCCAGGCCCUCACCCCGCUGUGACCCUGUGGGGCAGCAGCAGCAGGCAGCUCAUCCUGGGGGGGGUAUGAGAGAACUGACACUCAUCCAAAACCGAGACAGGCCUAGCACCCGCCGGCUGUCGGCUGUCGGCUGUCGGCUGACAGGCCUGAGCGCAUCCCAGCCCCUCUCGCGGGCAGCACGGCUCCGUGACCGCCCGUGUCCCGCGGUGUCCCCCCAUGUCCCUCCGCUGUCCCCCCCGUGUCCCCGGCCCGCCCUACCCUGCCCAUCUCCGUGCCGGCACUGCGCAGGCGCCGCCCCAGCGCAUGCGCAGCGCUGCCGCCGCGGGGCCGCGCCGUACCCGCCGCCAGGCUGGGGAAGGCGCAAAGGAGGGGGGGGAGGAAGGAAGGAGGGCGGGCAGCGGGAAGGAAGGAAGGAAACAAGGCAGGAGUGCGGGUCGGCCGGCCAGCCUGGGCUGGGGCGUCGGGCAGCUCGGAGCGGAGCUCGGCCCCGGGAAGUGACCAUCCAGUUCUGCUAGCUCCAGCUGUAGUUAAUAGAGGAGAUUGUUUCUUCUUGUGGGUCUUUACUCAGGUACCUGUAACUUGCACAUUGCAGCUUGCAAGCAUGAGAGGCCAAAAUUUAAUACUAAGUCACCAAACCUUAUGUAGCAUAAAACUGGCUAGAGGUGUCUGAUUUUUAGGACUUUUCCCCAAAAUCUGAGUAUGCUGGCAAAGUAAACAAAGCUGGCAGGCUGUGAAGGUGGUAAGGCAGAGGCACAGAGAAGCUGUGGCUGUCCCUUCCGUGGGAGUUCCAAGUCCAGGUUGGACAGGCCUUGGAGCAACCUGGGAUAGUGGAAGGUGCCCCUGCCUGUGGUAUGACGUGGCUUUAAGAUCCCGUCCAACCCAAAUUGUUCUGGAAUUCUAUGCUGUCUGUCUCCUCAUCUCUGCCCACUCAAAAUUGAUUCUGUGCAGGUGUGAUUAGAAUAAAAGAGGAGAGCUGCUGCUGUCUAAUGUCU